rnacentral:lncRNA from 1 species
GAGAUUUACUUAUUCAGAAGCAAAAAUCAUGUUGAAAUUUUGUCUUCCAUUCACCCUUGACCUUGUGACCACGCAACUUUUUAUCUAGUGAAGAGACUCCAAAAUGUCAGUGGGCAGAUGUCUACAUGCACAGUCCUCAGCAAAACCCUGGACAGUGAAUCUUCACAGGACCUCCCCGGGUAGAAACACUGCAGACAUGAAGGUACUUGCUUCCCUUCUCCUUCUGCCUUUAUGGUGUGUCUCUUGUAAACAGCACAAAUUGGAUUUUGGCUGCUGCUUCUUUUUUUUUUCUCAACAGAGUUUUGCCAUGUUGCCCAGACUGGAGUGCAGUGGCCAUUCACAGUGUCAGUUUCUGAGGCCAAGCAGAAGCGUCCCUGAACAGGUCUGUCAUCUGGUUUCACACUUGUGUUGAAAAGUAGGAAUAUGUUUUUCAGUUUAGUCCUGAAAUUCUUUUAAGUGGUUUCGUUUUCAGCAAGAUUUGAAAUUUCCUGAUACCCUCUUCACUCUGAAGCCUAUAUGAGAAUGAAAGUAUUUCAAAAUUUCCUGUUGAAACGUGGUCCUUCCAAAGAUUGGAUUUCCUUCUACAUCCAUGUGAAGUUCAAACUUUUUCUCUUGUGUCAUUGAGAGACUACCCAUCUGGUUGAUUUGAUGAGCCAUUUUUGCUAAGUGGGCUACAUUCAAAAGCUGCCUUCAAUCUUCCAAGCAAACAAAAUACGUGUUUUACUCUUUUCCUGGACGUGUUCCAGCAAUUCACCUUUCCCUUCAAAUAUCCUGGUGAGAAAUCUUCCUCUGCUAAGCCUCUCAUUUAUUCAAUGUAGCAGAAGAAUUAUGCAUUCUGUGUUAUGAUUUCCACAUAAUUGUUUGACAGACUCAAUUGAACAGCCCUUGACUGUUUCAUAACAUCAUCCCAAACUAUUUUUUUAAAUUUCAUACCCAAGAAUUUUUGACAAGAGCAUCUUUCUGCAAAGAAAACAUUCUGUUUCAGAAAAUCAGGACUCUCAUUUUACUUUUUCAUCCAGAGAGGUGAAGCUUGUUACAGAAACAAACAUUGAUGGGCACCAUGAAUGCAGAUGCCAAUGCAAUUUUUCCAAGAUACAUCUUUUGUGUGUAGAUAAAAAAAUAAAACAUAAAUCAUACCUACCCCUCUCAUUGUUUGGGGCAGUUCAUUACAAUGGAAAAAAUAUGUUGAAUUUCACCAUUGUUGGCAAAUUUUACAAACACUACAAUGUGAUAUUUAUUGAUAAAAUCAUUUGGAUUUUUAAGUUAAGUAUAUUAAUUACUCUUUUUUUUUAGUUGGUCACACUGAACUCCCUCAGCAUUGUCCAUGUGCUAAAUACAUUUAUGGUACUGUUUGAGAUUGGGAACUUUUCAUGUUCUCACACUGCAUUUUGUCCUAAUAUUUUAUCCAGUCUAAUUUAUAUGUGAAUUUCUUUACCAGUUGCAUUUUGUUUUGUUCCUCUGCUAAUAAAUAAAUUACUUGCUCCCUAACCAUUUUCGUAGGAGGUAACUUUUUUGGUUUAACAAAAUCUUUAAGAUCCUAACAGUCACUCAAAAUAAUCAGUGCCUUGAUUGUUAGUAGACUUGGGUUAUGAAUGAGGAUUUCUUGGUUUUGCAGGAGCCCAGGGUGCCUUUGUACACUUUUUCACAGAUGGCUCACACUGGGACAGGGCAAUGUGAGUUUCUGUCCCAUAUAAACCCCACUGGUAAGUGGCCCUUUUUGUAAACCUGGCUUUCGUGGUUCUACUCAUGAAAGGAAGUGCAGCAGAUGGAUUGAAAUUCUGCGUCAAUAACCCCAGUAGAGUUGUCCAUUGGCUGAGGCCUGUAAUCCUCCUCUUGUGUGUCACAUCUUGCCCCAAUAACACGCAUUUGCACAACACAGCUCCUAAGAAAAUAUGAGGAGAAAUAUAACAAGUAAAUGAGAAAACGUUAAGAAAAUGUUAAACGUUGACCAU